CGGACGGGUGAGUAAUGUCUGGGAAACUGCCUGAUGGAGGGGGAUAACUACUGGAAACGGUAGCUAAUACCGCAUAAUGUCGCAAGACCAAAGAGGGGGACCUUCGGGCCUCUUGCCAUCGGAUGUGCCCAGAUGGGAUUAGCUAGUAGGUGGGGUAACGGCUCACCUAGGCGACGAUCCCUAGCUGGUCUGAGAGGAUGACCAGCCACACUGGAACUGAGACACGGUCCAGACUCCUACGGGAGGCAGCAUG
rnacentral:rRNA from 1 species